AGUGAACGCUGGCGGUAGGCCUAACACAUGCAAGUCGAACGGCAGCACAGAGGAGCUUGCUCCUUGGGUGGCGAGUGGCGGACGGGUGAGGAAUACAUCGGAAUCUACUCUGUCGUGGGGGAUAACGUAGGGAAACUUACGCUAAUACCGCAUACGACCUACGGGUGAAAGCAGGGGACCUUCGGGCCUUGCGCGAUUGAAUGAGCCGAUGUCGGAUUAGCUAGUUGGCGGGGUAAAGGCCCACCAAGGCGACGAUCCGUAGCUGGUCUGAGAGGAUGAUCAGCCACACUGGAACUGAGACACGGUCCAGACUCCUACGGGAGGCAGCAGUGAGGAAUAUUGGACAAUGGGCGCAAGCCUGAUCCAGCCAUACCGCGUGGGUGAAGAAGGCCUUAGGGUUGUAAAGCCCUUUUGUUGGGAAAGAAAUCCAGCUGGCUAAUACCCGGUUGCGAUGACAGUACCCAAAGAAUAAGCACCGGCUAACUUCGUGCCAGCCGCCGCAGUAA
rnacentral:rRNA from 1 species